rnacentral:rRNA from 1 species
GACGAACGCUGGCGGCGUGCUUAACACAUGCAAGUCGAACGGAAAGGCCCUGCUUUUGUGGGGUGCUCGAGUGGCGAACGGGUGAGUAGCACGUGAGUAACCUGCCCUUGACUUUGGGAUAACUUCAGGAAACUGGGGCUAAUACCGGAUAGGAGCUCCUGCUGCAUGGUGGGGGUUGGAAAGUUUCGGCGGUUGGGGAUGGACUCGCGGCUUAUCAGCUUGUUGGUGGGGUAGUGGCUUACCAAGGCUUUGACGGGUAGCCGGCCUGAGAGGGUGACCGGCCACAUUGGGACUGAGAUACGGACCAGACUCCUACGGGAGGCAGCAGUGGGGAAUAUUGCACAAUGGGCGGAAGCCUGAUGCAGCAACGCCGCGUGCGGGAUGACGGCCUUCGGGUUGUAAACCGCUUUCGCCUGUGACGAAGCGUGAGUGACGGUAAUGGGUAAAGAAGCACCGGCUAACUACGUG